GGAACUUUGGCUCAGUGGCAGAGUAUUUGCUUGGCAUGCAGAAGGCCCCAGGUUCUAACCCUGGCAUCUCCA
rnacentral:tRNA from 1 species